AGCAAAUCCCUAAACUCCCUCGUCCUCAUUACUCAACUACCUCAGUCUGACAACUCAAGGCACACAAGCACCUACUUGCCUCCCACCAUCCUUUACUGCCCUUGUCUUUGUGGGGUUGGAACAAAUGCAAACUCCUCAGUUCCACAACCCAAAACUGCUCUUUCUGGAUCGUCUUCUCCAGUGACGUUGGCUCCCUACAAGAGCGAACUCUCCAUAUGGGUCAGUCCCUGUAGGACAAGCCAGGGACUAUGCUGUGCAGUCAAAUGCCAGGUUUGGAGCAUAGCUUAAGACCGCAGAGAGUAAGGACUUGAGUGGUGGUGGUGUGCAGUUUGAGAGAGCUGGAAUGGACGUCUCUGCUCCUGCCCUCUGGGCGGGUCGGGUGAUGACUUCUAGAUGCACUCCUUACCCUGGAGGGAAGUUAAUUUAUACUUAAGAUGCAUUUUGUACAUUUCCCCUUUACCCAGAAACCUGUAGUUUCAUACUCCCAUGUCUAUGCCAACACUACCUAUCGCUCACUCUCCGUGGCUGACUUCUGGUUCCAUUUCCUUCCUGUGACUUGGAAGAGCUUUACUUUUGCUCACGUGAACCUUUCUUUUUUAAAUAAAACACAAAAGCC
rnacentral:lncRNA from 1 species